CCACAAGCAGAGGGAGCUGGCUUCAGCCUCAGCCAGCACAGAGAGGGGCCCCCAUAGCGCAGUGGCGGGCUGAAGGGCUCCUUGAGCAUGGCCAGAGUGGACGCCAAGGCUGAGGAGGCGCCGAGAGCCAGUGAGGGCUGCUAGCAUGUUGUCACCUCUCAAUACAUAAAACUACUGGAGGGUGGUUCCAAGAUGGCCAAAUAGGAACAGCUCCAGUCUACAGCUCCCAGCAUGAGUGAUGCAGAAGACGAAUGAUUUCUGCAUUUCCAACUCAGUAGAGAGCUGACUUUAGAGGGAUCAAGAAUAGCUUGCUGGAUGGAAGGAGCUUGGGGCCAGUCAUCAUCUUAAAGGCUCUGUGGCAGCUUGGACUUGAAGUAGGGUGCACCCGGAAUUGACCAAUACAAACAGUGGACUGCACUGGAUUCUUCUUGUGCCCUGUCUCAUAUCCUCUUGUCCCACCUUUUCAUAACAGCCAUUGCCAUGGGAACCAGCUGCAUCCAGGUACGACCUGACAGCACCCUGCUUCACUGUCAUGGUGCUCCUGCAGCAUUCUGGUUAGCCAUCAUGUUGCACACACAGACCUGGAAGGGUCAGGGAGUUGCCCAUGGCAACUCUUGGCCACCAAGGGAAAGGACUAGCUCGAUAGCACACUCUUGCCUUGCGUUUCCCUAUUUUUCUUCUCUUAGUUGUUCAUACCUUGUUUCACAUCCCCAUAUAAGCCAUCUGUACCCAAGUCCUUGUUUCAUCUUCCAUUUCAGGAAAUACCAGGUUAAUACAGAAACGCAAACUACAACAAAUAAACAUUCACAUUUUAAAGUCAGGCAACAAAACUUUAUGCCUUUCAGAGCAUAAUGCUUUCUGACUUCAAAAUAUAAGACUUCAUGCUUGGCCCUUCUUUAUUAAGAACUUACUUAAAUCAGCAUAUCUUUGCAUGGGACUUCAAAUCCUUUCAUUUAAGGCAAGUUUUACAGCCAAUAUUAACGUUGGUGUACCAGUACCCUGUUCUUAAACUGGCUAAAGCAGCCUCAAAAUUCCCAAAGGGAAUAAUGAAAAUUCCUAACAUCCUUGGCAGGAAAACAGUUGGAAGUUUAAAUCAAGCUAAUUGUUUUGGCUAAUAUGUUUUUAAUAAAAUAAAUAUUAAAUUAAUAAUAAAAAAGAUUUCAAGCUAUUUACAAAGAGAAAGGAAGGGAGGGGUUGCAGAAUGCCCAACUAUAAGAAAUGUUGCUUGGAAACUACUCAAGAAGAUGCAUUUUUGAGAGCCAGGAACUCUGCUCUCCUUCAUUCUGCAAGAAAGGGAUAAUGCUUCUAUUCAAGACUUCUCUGAAAAGCCUCCAACCGUCAGGGGGCUGUGGACAAAAUAUAUUUUUAGUUUUAGCUUGCAUACUGAAAUAGUUUUUAAUUUUUUCAAAUUUUGAAGUGAUUUUUAAAUAGCUUAAGAGCUUGCAGUUAUUGUUAACAUUUAAAGGUGCUAUAUUCCAGGUAUUGGGCUAUGAGCUUUAUAAGUAUUAUUUAAUUUAGUUUGCUUUUCACAGCAACUCUAAGAGGUAGGCAUUGUUAUUAUCUCUGGCUCAUAGAUGGAGACACUGGACUUCACAGAGUUAAACAUAAGUUGCCCUGACCCAUACAGCUGUUAAGUAGAGAGGCUGAAGAUGGAAUGAAAGCCAGGUCUGGCAACUACAAAGCUCAGGCCCUUGAAUUCUAACCUUAACCACUUGCAAUUUAAAAUGUCUGAAAGAAGAAAUAUAAACUAAUUUUAAAAUACGUGAUGAGAAAAUUUUCCUGUUGCUGAAGGAAAACCUGGUAUGUGGAUUGAAGUAGUUCACAUUCUAUAAGAAGCAACAUAAGGAACAGGCACCAACACCUAGGCAUAACCUGGAGAUGUAAGACGUGUAAGGACAAAGGUGGGACACCCAGAUUGCUUAAAAGGAAAAGCACUCGGGCUAGGUCUAAUAUCUGUCAGUUCCUGUGGGCCUUAGUUCCUGCUAUUUUCUCUUCCUGUAACUCUCCCUCCUGUCACAUGCCACCUGAUUCUCUUGGCUUGAUGAACUCUUGUUCAUUUUCCCAAAAUUCCAAGGGGAUCUUCCUGAUUCCAUAUACCAGUUAAGUGUCUUCUGUGCAUUUUUCUGUAUCACCCUCUACUAACCCUCUGCUGGCACUCACCAC
ensembl:lncRNA novel transcript